rnacentral:lncRNA from 1 species
AAACUAGUCAAUAAGUUAAAUCAAUCACACAUAAUGUACUAUGCCACAUUGUUCCAAUAUGUACUCCAGAUUUCCCGUCAGACACAAUAAGAUGAGAAAUACUGGUCAAUGAUCAGAGGCAUAUAUAAAGCGGGUUCUGUGAGUUUAACUGAACCAUUACUUUCAACUCGAACAAUGUACACACAUGACAAAAAAAAGCUCGAAAUAUAUAUACAUAUAAUGAGAUCACACUUAUAUUGUACCUACAAACACGAUAAAUUUGUCGAUGACUCGAUGAUGAUCUUAGCAAACAAGAUAAAGUGCACAAACUUGGCAGUAGUACUGGCUCUGUCAAUCAGAAAUCAAAAGACUCUCAUUCCCACCUAAAGCAACACGUUACUCUAAAGAAACUGCAGAUUAUAUUGAAGUUUUCAUCUGACUGGUGUUUGCUGUAAAAGGCAAAAAGUCAGAAGAGUACUUACUGAGUGUUUGGCUAAUUUUGUGUAAGCUCUUGCAUCAGAAUUCAUCCCAACGUGUGACUUAAAUUCACCACCAGUGUCACUAGCAACAUUAACUACAUCUCCCAAAAAAAAAAAAAAAAUUAAGAAUCAGAAUUUUGUACUCACAAUAUUUGGGUAAAUAUGUGGACCUGGUAUUGCGAUUCCAGAAUUGGCGUCAUGCUCAAAGUUUGAUCACCACUUGGCACAUGUGUAUGU